rnacentral:rRNA from 1 species
UAAUAAUUAAAUAUUUAGAAACUUAAAGGAUCUGGCGGUAAAUUAACAAAACUAGAGGAACUUGUAUAUUAAUAGAUAAUACGCAAUUAAUUUUACUUUAUUUAAUAUAAUUUAUAUACCGCUGUUUAGAGUAUUUUUACAAAAUAAAUAUUCAAGCUUUUAAUAAAAGGAAAAUCAAGUUAAGGUGUAGUUUAUAAUAAAGCCUUUUAUGAGUUACAAUUAAUUUAAUUAAUGGAGCUAAAAUUGAAAUUUUUUAACGAAAUUGGAUUUAGAAGUAUUAUUGAAUUAAAAUGUUUAUAAGAAUAAAAAUCUAAUUUGUGU